UGGCACUCUCCCUCUACAUUGUCUAUGAGGUGGGCCCCUGGGAUGCCGGGCUUUAAUUUCUGUCAGCAGGAUAAGGAGCAGGCCAUAGAGCCAGAGCAUGGCAUUUCUCCUUUCCAGAGAGGUUCAGAUCCAUGUCCUCAGCUAGCGAAGGGGAGGGAUGGCUGGGAAGGGAGAACUCUGGUGGUCUAAUCCACAUCCCUUCCUAGUUCCUGAUGUCGGGCUGGCUGAGCACCUAUACCUGGCGCUGUGACCCUGUGGACUAUUCCAACAGCCCUGAGGCACUUAGGAUGGUUCGGGUGGCCUGGCUCUUCCUCUUCUCCAAGUUCAUUGAGCUGAUGGACACAGUGAUCUUUAUUCUCCGAAAGAAAGACGGGCAGGUGACCUUCCUACAUGUCUUCCAUCACUCUGUGCUUCCCUGGAGCUGGUGGUGGGGGGUAAAGAUUGCCCCGGGAGGAAUGGGCUCUUUCCAUGCCAUGAUAAACUCUUCUGUGCAUGUCAUAAUGUACCUGUACUACGGAUUAUCUGCCUUUGGCCCUGUGGCACAACCCUACCUUUGGUGGAAAA
rnacentral:sRNA from 1 species